rnacentral:rRNA from 1 species
ACUCAAAGGAAUAGACGGGGAGCCGCACAAGCAGAGGAGGAUGUGGUUUAAUUCGAGGCUAAGCGAAGAACCUUACCAAGGCUUGACAUCCUGGGAAUCUUUGGGAAACCAUUGAGUGCCUUCGGGAAUCCAGUGACAGGUGCUGCAUGGCCGUCGUCAGCUCGUGUCGUGAGAUGUUGGGUUAAGUCCCGCAACGAGCGCAACCCCUAUCGUUUGUUGAAUUUUCAAACGAGACUGCCCGGGACAACCGGGAGGAAGGUGGGGACGACGUCUGGUCUGCAUGGCCCUUACGCCUUGGGCUACACACGUCCUACAAUGGCCACUACAACGCGUUGCCAAACCGCAAGGUGGAGCUAAUCGCAUCAAAAGUGGUCUCAGUUCGGAUUGAGGGCUGAAACUCGCCCUCAUGAAGCCGGAUUUGCUAGUAAUGGUGGAUCAGCCACGCCGCCGUGAAUACGUUCCCGGCUCUUGUACACACCGCCCGU